rnacentral:tRNA from 1 species
CCCUGGUGGCUUAGAGGUUAAAGCAUCUGCCUCCAAUGCAGGAGACCCGGGUUCGAUCCCUGGAUCAGGAA